CGCAGUUAUUUAGUUGAGUGAAGCCAUUCAAAAAAACAAAGCAGUUUCUUGGAGAGCCGGUUCUUUGCCUCGAAGGAUCAUUUUCGAAUUUCGUCUCGUUUCCAAGUCAUAAAAUACCUCUUCAGUUAUAACUUCUUCAUCGUAGAGUGUGUUAGAGCAUUAAUUGUGUCAGCAUAGCUGAAAGAGGAGAUAAUCGUAUAGUUAUAGACUUAUAGUAUUUGUAGGCCACUCGGUGACCCAGGUUCGAUUCUCUUGUAAACUGGAAAGCCCUUCUUUCUAAACUUUUGACAUAAUUUUGAGCAUUGAUGUACAUAGCCGGUCG